CUAAUACAAUUUUUUUUAUUGUUCCACAAUUUUGCAUAGACAGUCUAAUCGAAUUCAUAUGCUUUGUUCCCCGCAAGGUGAUAUCACUAAUGACAUUAACACUAAUCAAAAUCUUUUGAUCGAUCAUUUUCGAAAUAGAUGGCUGAUGGAUACAACGAUUACUGAUCUUGAUUAUCCUAUUAUGAUGUCGUUUCUAUCUCCUAUCUAGAGCUCUCUUUUAAUUCAAUCUAUUAUAGGUGGGA
rnacentral:lncRNA from 1 species